rnacentral:rRNA from 1 species
UGGGGAAUAUUGGACAAUGGGCGAAAGCCUGAUCCAGCCAUGCCGCGUGUGUGAAGAAGGUCUUCGGAUUGUAAAGCACUUUAAGUUGGGAGGAAGGGCAUUAACCUAAUACGUUAGUGUUUUGACGUUACCGACAGAAUAAGCACCGGCUAACUCUGUGCCAGCAGCCGCGGUAAUACAGAGGGUGCAAGCGUUAAUCGGAAUUACUGGGCGUAAAGCGCGCGUAGUGUGUUUGUUAAGUUGGAUGUGAAAUCCCCGGGCUCAACCUGGGAACUGCAUUCAAAACUGACUGACUAGAGUAUGGUAGAGGGUGGUGGAAUUUCCUGUGUAGCGGUGAAAUGCGUAGAUAUAGGAAGGAACACCAGUGGCGAAGGCGACCACCUGGACUAAUACUGACACUGAGGUGCGAAAGCGUGGGGAGCAAACA